rnacentral:SRP_RNA from 1 species
CGGUAGGGAGGGCUGGAGGGCUCGGCCUCCUCUGCUCUACAAACGGUCGUAAAGGUAGGGCCAGUAACUCUGGGAGGCGGCAAAACCAGCAGCGAUGUUGAUGGACGUGCAGCGUGGAAGUCUCGCCCUGUGGGGGCAUUGGCGCGGACAAGGUCCGUCCGGAAGGAUGGGCACUCCGCUUGCUAGGUGAAACGGGUUAGGCCCGGAAGGGAGCGGCCCUAAGCCUAGACAGUGCCGUUCACAGGAUAACGGGAUGGAUGCUGGGCGUCCAAAGGCAUUGCUGUGCAGGCUGCCCACUCCUGGGGGGCUGCCG